GCCCCCUCCGUACUACCCGAGCUUCCUGCCCUAUUUCCUCUCUAUGCUUCCCGUGUCGCCGACGGCCGUGGGGCCCACGAUCAGCCUGGACCUGGACGUGGAUGACGUGGAGAUGGAGAACUACGAGGCGUUACUGAACCUGGCCGAGCGGCUGGGGGAGGCCAAG